rnacentral:rRNA from 1 species
GCCUAUCUUGCCGCGUUCGUGUCCAUGUGUGAGGGUUUUCUGGGCUGUCGACCGCACUGGGGCUUGUUCAAGCAUAUAUUCACGUGUCGCUCUCAGACCGUGAAGAAGGCGAGCCCAGGCAACGAAAGAACCCGAGUCGUCCAAAUGUGUGGGGGCCUGGGGAUCCAGGUGAGGAAUAAGAGCACCUUCCCACCCAUGACUUUUCCCGAGUCAGUCAGAGGCUGGCAGUCGACCUGGUUCUACUGCCAGGACCAGUCGACGCCGGGGCAGUCGAGUGGACUCCCUCAGUUUACCAUGGACCGAGUGAACAAGCCCUCCUCUCUGAAGUUGAUUCUGGAGGAGAAAGCUGACGUGAAGAUGUUGAUGGAG